rnacentral:rRNA from 1 species
CUUAGAAGCAGCCAUUCAUUUAAAGAGUGCGUAACAGCUCACUAGUCAAGAGAUUCUGCGUGGAAGAUAUAACGGGGCUAAGCGUAAUACCGAAGAUAUGGAUUGCAAUUUAUUGCAGUGGUAGCGGAGCGUUCCUAUCGGCAGUGAAGCCGGACUGUUAAGUACCGGUGGAGCGUUAGGAAGUGAGAAUGCUGGAACGAGUAACCAUAAGACAGGUGAGAAUCCUGUCGGCCGAAAGAGCGAGGUUUCCUGGGCUAUGGUAAUCAUCCCAGGGUUAGUCGGGCCUAAGCCGAGGCGUUUAGCGUAGGCGAUGGACAUCAGGUUAAUAUUCCUGAACUAGUCAAACUUUGUAUGCAGUUAGCGAUGAGAUAGGUGGAGCGGAUUCAUGGUUUAUCCGUUCAAGUGAUAGAGGAAUCUUGAUCGAGUAAAAGUGAACCUACGGGUUUACGAUUCCGCUGAAGGCAUUGACCAGAAAAGCUGGCAUACGCAUGGGUUUGGCUACCCGUACCGCAAACCGACACAGGUGCUCGAGUCGAGGAGACUAAGGCUUACGAGAGAAUGAUUGCUAAGGAACUCGGCAAUACAGCGACCGUAACUUCGGAAUAAGGUCUGCCUACAUUUGUAGGCCGCAGCUAAAGAGCCCACGGAACUGUUUAUCAAAAACACAGGUCUCUGCUAACACGAAAGUGGAUGUAUAGGGGCUGACUCCUGCCCAAUGCUGGAAGGUUAAGGGGAGCGCUUCACGGUGCGAACUGAAGCCCUAGUCAAUGGCGGCGGUAACUAUAACCGUCCUAAGGUAGCGAAAUUCCUUGUCAGGUAAGUUCUGACCCGCACGAAUGGAGUAAUCAUGUGGGCACUGUCUCAGCGAAGGACUCGGUGAAAGUGCAUUGGCGGUAAAGAUGCCGUCUGUCCGUACCAGGACGAAAAGACCCCAUGGAGCUUUACUACAGCUUUACAUUGAAUAUGGUUUCAACAUGUGUAGCAUAGGUGGGAGACUUUGAAGCAGAUACGCCAGUAUUUGUGGAGUCACCAAGUGAAAUACCACCCUUGUUGUGAUUGUGUUCUCACGCUGACCGUUAUCCGGUUAGCGGACCGUGUAUGGUGGGUAGUUUAACUGGGGCGGUUGCCUCCUAAAGAGUAGCGGAGGCGUUCAAAGGU